UACGGAGGGGGCUAGCGUUGUUCGGAAUCAUUGGGCGUAAAGGGCGCGUAGGCGGCCGAUCAAGUCGGAGGUGAAAUCCCUCGGCUCAACUGAGGAAUUGCCUUCGAUACUGUUCGGCUUGAGUCCUGGAGAGGGUAGCGGAAUUCCCGGUGUAGCGGUGAAAUGCGUAGAUAUCUGGAGGAACACCGGUGGCGAAGGCGGCAUCCUGGACCGGCAUUGACGCUGAGGCGCGAAAGCCAGGGGAGCAAACGGG
rnacentral:rRNA from 1 species